rnacentral:rRNA from 1 species
UUAAGCGACUAAGCGUACACGGUGGAUGCCCUGGCAGUCAGAGGCGAUGAAGGACGUGCUAAUCUGCGAUAAGCGUCGGUAAGGUGAUAUGAACCGUUAUAACCGGCGAUUUCCGAAUGGGGAAACCCAGUGUGUUUCGACACACUAUCAUUAACUGAAUCCAUAGGUUAAUGAGGCGAACCGGGGGAACUGAAACAUCUAAGUACCCCGAGGAAAAGAAAUCAACCGAGAUUCCCCCAGUAGCGGCGAGCGAACGGGGAGCAGCCCAGAGCCUGAAUCAGUGUGUGUGUUAGUGGAAGCGUCUGGAAAGGCGCGCGAUACAGGGUGACAGCCCCGUACACAAAAAUGCACAUAUUGUGAGCUCGAUGAGUAGGGCGGGACACGUGGUAUCCUGUCUGAAUAUGGGGGGACCAUCCUCCAAGGCUAAAUACUCCUGACUGACCGAUAGUGAACCAGUACCGUGAGGGAAAGGCGAAAAGAACCCCGGCGAGGGGAGUGAAAAAGAACCUGAAACCGUGUACGUACAAGCAGUGGGAGCCUCUUUUAUGGGGUGACUGCGUACCUUUUGUAUAAUGGGUCAGCGACUUAUAUUCUGUAGCAAGGUUAACCGAAUAGGGGAGCCGAAGGGAAACCGAGUCUUAACUGGGCGUUAAGUUGCAGGGUAUAGACCCGAAACCCGGUGAUCUAGCCAUGGGCAGGUUGAAGGUUGGGUAACACUAACUGGAGGACCGAACCGACUAAUGUUGAAAAAUUAGCGGAUGACUUGUGGCUGGGGGUGAAAGGCCAAUCAAACCGGGAGAUAGCUGGUUCUCCCCGAAAGCUAUUUAGGUAGCGCCUCGUGAAUUCAUCUCCGGGGGUAGAGCACUGUUUCGGCAAGGGGGUCAUCCCGACUUACCAACCCGAUGCAAACUGCGAAUACCGGAGAAUGUUAUCACGGGAGACACACGGCGGGUGCUAACGUCCGUCGUGAAGAGGGAAACAACCCAGACCGCCAGCUAAGGUCCCAAAGUCAUGGUUAAGUGGGAAACGAUGUGGGAAGGCCCAGACAGCCAGGAUGUUGGCUUAGAAGCAGCCAUCAUUUAAAGAAAGCGUAAUAGCUCACUGGUCGAGUCGGCCUGCGCGGAAGAUGUAACGGGGCUAAACCAUGCACCGAAGCUGCGGCAGCGACACUAUGUGUUGUUGGGUAGGGGAGCGUUCUGUAAGCCUGUGAAGGUGUGCUGUGAGGCAUGCUGGAGGUAUCAGAAGUGCGAAUGCUGACAUAAGUAACGAUAAAGCGGGUGAAAAGCCCGCUCGCCGGAAGACCAAGGGUUCCUGUCCAACGUUAAUCGGGGCAGGGUGAGUCGACCCCUAAGGCGAGGCCGAAAGGCGUAGUCGAUGGGAAACAGGUUAAUAUUCCUGUACUUGGUGUUACUGCGAAGGGGGGACGGAGAAGGCUAUGUUGGCCGGGCGACGGUUGUCCCGGUUUAAGCGUGUAGGCUGGUUUUCCAGGCAAAUCCGGAAAAUCAAGGCUGAGGCGUGAUGACGAGGCACUACGGUGCUGAAGCAACAAAUGCCCUGCUUCCAGGAAAAGCCUCUAAGCAUCAGGUAACAUCAAAUCGUACCCCAAACCGACACAGGUGGUCAGGUAGAGAAUACCAAGGCGCUUGAGAGAACUCGGGUGAAGGAACUAGGCAAAAUGGUGCCGUAACUUCGGGAGAAGGCACGCUGAUAUGUAGGUGAAGCGACUUGCUCGUGGAGCUGAAAUCAGUCGAAGAUACCAGCUGGCUGCAACUGUUUAUUAAAAACACAGCACUGUGCAAACACGAAAGUGGACGUAUACGGUGUGACGCCUGCCCGGUGCCGGAAGGUUAAUUGAUGGGGUUAGCGCAAGCGAAGCUCUUGAUCGAAGCCCCGGUAAACGGCGGCCGUAACUAUAACGGUCCUAAGGUAGCGAAAUUCCUUGUCGGGUAAGUUCCGACCUGCACGAAUGGCGUAAUGAUGGCCAGGCUGUCUCCACCCGAGACUCAGUGAAAUUGAACUCGCUGUGAAGAUGCAGUGUACCCGCGGCAAGACGGAAAGACCCCGUGAACCUUUACUAUAGCUUGACACUGAACAUUGAGCCUUGAUGUGUAGGAUAGGUGGGAGGCUUUGAAGUGUGGACGCCAGUCUGCAUGGAGCCGACCUUGAAAUACCACCCUUUAAUGUUUGAUGUUCUAACGUUGACCCGUGAUCCGGGUUGCGGACAGUGUCUGGUGGGUAGUUUGACUGGGGCGGUCUCCUCCUAAAGAGUAACGGAGGAGCACGAAGGUUGGCUAAUCCUGGUCGGACAUCAGGAGGUUAGUGCAAUGGCAUAAGCCAGCUUGACUGCGAGCGUGACGGCGCGAGCAGGUGCGAAAGCAGGUCAUAGUGAUCCGGUGGUUCUGAAUGGAAGGGCCAUCGCUCAACGGAUAAAAGGUACUCCGGGGAUAACAGGCUGAUACCGCCCAAGAGUUCAUAUCGACGGCGGUGUUUGGCACCUCGAUGUCGGCUCAUCACAUCCUGGGGCUGAAGUAGGUCCCAAGGGUAUGGCUGUUCGCCAUUUAAAGUGGUACGCGAGCUGGGUUUAGAACGUCGUGAGACAGUUCGGUCCCUAUCUGCCGUGGGCGCUGGAGAACUGAGGGGGGCUGCUCCUAGUACGAGAGGACCGGAGUGGACGCAUCACUGGUGUUCGGGUUGUCAUGCCAAUGGCACUGCCCGGUAGCUAAAUGCGGAAGAGAUAAGUGCUGAAAGCAUCUAAGCACGAAACUUGCCCCGAGAUGAGUUCUCCCUGACCCUUUAAGGGUCCUGAAGAACGUUGAAGACGACGACGUUGAUAGGCCGGGUGUGUAAGCGCAGCGAUGCGUUGAGCUAACCGGUACUAAUGAACCGUGAGGCUUAACCUU